rnacentral:rRNA from 1 species
GAAACGAAGAAGGACGCGAUAAGCUGCGAUAAGCCAUGACGAGCUGCAAGUAAGCCUUGACUCAUGGAUUUCCGAAUGGGGCAACCCGGCAAGAGUAACGUCUUGUCACCUUAUCUUCGAGAUAAGGAGAAAACACCCGAUGAACUGAAACAUCUAAGUAGUCGGAGGAAAAGAAAUCAAAGAGAUUCCCUGAGUAGCGGCGAGCGAAACGGGAAGAGCCCAAACCAAGAGACUUCGGUUUCUUGGGGUUGCGGACCUGCAACAAACCGGACACUUUAGUGGAAGCAUCUGGGAAGGUGCGGCAAAGAGAGUGAGACCCUCGUACACGAAAGAGUGAAAGGCGGGCAGGGAUCCAGAGUACCACAGGGCACGAGGAACCCGGUGGGAAGCAGGGUGGACCACCAUCCAAGGCUAAAUACAUCGAAACGACCGAUAGUGAAAAGUACCGUGAGGGAAAGGUGAAAAGAACCCCGGGAGGGGAGUGCAAAAGAACCUGAAACCGUAUGUCUACAAACAGUCGGAGCAGAAUUUAACGUGCGACGGCGUGCCUAUUGAAGAAUGAACCGGCGAGUUAAUUUAUGCUGCGAGGUUAAGCGGGAGACGCGGAGCCGAAGCGAAAGCGAGUCUUAAGAGGGCUGUUAGUAGCAUGGAUUAGACCCGAAACCACAGUGAUCUAUGCAUGUCCAGGUUGAAGCUCAGGUAAAAAUGAGUGGAGGACCGAACCCGUGCGUGUUGAAAAACGUUGGGAUGAGGUGUGCAUAGGGGUGAAAUGCCAAUCGAACGUGGAGAUAGCUGGUUCUCCCCGAAAUAGCUUUAGGGCUAGCCUCAGGCGAAUCACCAUAGAGACGGUAGAGCACUGAUCGGGCAAGGGGGCGUAAAGCCUACCGACCCCAGUCAAACUGCGAAUGGCUGCAUGUCAAACUCGGGAGUCAGCGUGCGAGUGAUAAGACCCGUACGCAAGAGGGAAACAGCCCAGACCGCCGGCUAAGGUCCCAAAUGCUGUGCUAAGUGGAGAAGGAUGUAGGACUUCGAAAACAACCAGGAUGUUGGCUCAGAAGCAGCCACCAUUAAAAGAGUGCGUAAUAGCUCACUGGUCGAGAGGCCCUGCGCCGAAAAUAUCCGGGGCUAAAGCACAGAACCGAAGCCGCGGCAGGGUGUACUAAGGUACACACUGGGUAGGGGAGCGUUCUUAUCUGGACGAAGGCAGACCGGAAGGACUGCUGGACGGGUAAGAAGUGAGAAUGCCGGUAUGAGUAGCGAAACGACAGGUGAGAAUCCUGUCCACCGAAAGCCUAAGGGAUCCUGGGCAACGCUCGUCGCCCCAGGGUAAGUCGGGACCUAAGCCGAGGCGAAAAGCAUAGGCGAUGGACAACUGGCGAAAAUUCCAGUACCGGGCGUCUUCGUUUAAGGAUGGAGUGACGCAGGAAGGAAGCUGAGCGCGCGAAUGGUUGGGCGCGUCGAAGGCGGUAGGCUUGUAUGGAGGCAAAUCCCCAUACUACAAGGCCGAGAACCGAUAGAUAGGAAAGACUACGGUCAAUCUGAAUUCAGCUGCACUACACUGCCAAGAAAAGCUUCUAACGAGAAGACGUCCGCCCGUACCAAAACCGACACAGGUAGGCGGGGAGAGAAUCCUAAGGUGCGCGGGAAAACCCUCGUUAAGGAACUCGGCAAAAUGCAUCCGUAACUUCGGGAAAAGGAUGGCCGCUUGGGGUGAAGAGACUUGCUCUCGGAGCUUUGGGCGGCGGCAGAAAAGAGGCCCAAGCGACUGUUUACCACAAACACAGGUGCCUGCGAAAGCGCAAGCUGAAGUAUAGGUGCUGACGCCUGCCCGGUGCAGGAAGGUUAAGGAGAGUUGUUAGUCCUCGAGAUGAAGCAGCGAACUGAAGCCCCUGUAAACGGCGGCCGUAACUAUAACGGUCCUAAGGUAGCGAAAUUCCUUGUCGGGUAAGUUCCGACCCGCACGAAAGGCGUAACGAUUUGGGCACUGUCUCAACGAGGGACCCGGUGAAAUUGAAAUACCUGUGAAGAUGCAGGUUACCCGCGACUGGACAGAAAGACCCCAUGGAGCUUUACUGCAGCUUGGCAUUGGUCUUUGGCAUAUGACGUACAGGAUAGCCGGGAGACUGGGAGGAUAGAUCGCUAGAUUUAUCGGAGUCACCGUUGGGAUACCGGCCUUCAUAUGCGAAGGAUCUAACCGGAACAUUAACAGUGUUCGGGACAGUACCAGGCGGGCAGUUUGACUGGGGCGGUCGCCUCCGAAAGAGCAACGGAGGCGUCCAAAGGUUCCCUCAGCGCGGACAGAAAUCGCGCGCAGAGCAUAAAGGCAGAAGGGAGCUUGACUGCGAGACUGACGGGUCGAGCAGGUACGAAAGUAGGGCUUAGUGAUCCGGUGGAAAGAGAGUGGAAUUGCCAUCGCUCAACGGAUAAAAGCUACCCUGGGGAUAACAGGCUAAUCUCUCCCAAGAGUCCAUAUCGACGGGGAGGUUUGGCACCUCGAUGUCGGCUCAUCACAUCCUGGGGCUGAAGCAGGUCCCAAGGGUUGGGCUGUUCGCCCAUUAAAGUGGUACGUGAGCUGGGUUCAGAACGUCGUGAGACAGUUCGGUCCAUAUCCAUCGCGGGCG